rnacentral:rRNA from 1 species
UACAGAGGUCUCAAGCGUUGUUCGGAUUCAUUGGGCGUAAAGGGUGCGUAGGCGGCGCGGUAAGUCGGGUGUGAAAUCUCGGAGCUUAACUCCGAAACUGCAUUCGAUACUGCCGUGCUUGAGGACUGGAGAGGAGACUGGAAUUUACGGUGUAGCGGUGAAAUGCGUAGAUAUCAGGAGGAACACCGGAGGCGAAGGCGGAUCUCUGGGCCAUUACUGACGCUGAGGAGCGAAAGCGUGGGGAGCGAACAGG